rnacentral:rRNA from 1 species
UGGGGAAUUUUGGACAAUGGGCGCAAGCCUGAUCCAGCCAUGCCGCGUGCAGGAAGAAGGCCUUCGGGUUGUAAACUGCUUUUGUCAGGGAAGAAAUCCUUUGGGUUAAUACCUCGAAGGGAUGACGGUACCUGAAGAAUAAGCACCGGCUAACUACGUGCCAGCAGCCGCGGUAAUACGUAGGGUGCGAGCGUUAAAUCGGAAUUACUGGGCGUAAAGCGUGCGCAGGCGGCUUUGCAAGACAGAUGUGAAAUCCCCCGGGCUCAAACCUGGGAACUGCAUUUGUGACUGCAAGGCUAGAGUGCGGCAGAGGGAGAUGGAAUUCCGCGUGUAGCAGUGAAAUGCGUAGAUAUGCGGAGGAACACCGAUGGCGAAGGCAAUCUCCUGGGCCUGCACUGACGCUCAUGCACGAAAAGCGUGGGGAGC